rnacentral:lncRNA from 1 species
AGAAGCAGCUGAGUGUCUCCUGAUACCCGGAUGUGAGGCGAUCCGCUGGCGCUAGUCUGACCCUCCGCCAGGCAAAAGGAAGGAAUCCUGAGAGUCCCCAUAUCACAUUUUGAGCACUACUGCUUUAAGCCUGCCGAGUGCCUGCGAUUGCAGGCGCGCGCCGCCACGCCUGACUGGUUUUCGUAUUUUUUUGGUGGAGACGGGGUUUCGCUGUGUUGGCUGGGCUGGUCUCCAGCUCCUAACCGCGAGUGAUCCACCAGCCUCGCCUCCAGAGGUGCCGGGAUUGCAGACGGUGUCUGGUUCACUCAGUGCUCAAUGGUGCCCAGGCUGGAGUGCAGUGGCGUGAUCUCGGCUCGCUACAACCUCCACCUCCCAGCCGCCUGCCUUGGCCUCCCAAAGUGCCCAGAGUGCAGCCUCUGCCCGGCUGCCACCCCGUCUAGGAAGUGAGGAGCGUCUCUGCCUGGCCACCCAUCGUCUGGGAUGUGAGGAGCCCCUCUGCCUGGCUGCCCAGUCUGGAAAGUGAGGAGCGUCUCUGCCCGGCCGCCAUCCCAUCUAGGAAGUGAGGAGCGCCUCUU